rnacentral:rRNA from 1 species
UACGUAGGGUGCAAGCGUUAUCCGGAAUUAUUGGGCGUAAAGCGCGCGCAGGCGGUUUCUUAAGUCUGAUGUGAAAGCCCACGGCUCAACCGUGGAGGGUCAUUGGAAACUGGGGAACUUGAGUGCAGAAGAGAAAAGCGGAAUUCCACGUGUAGCGGUGAAAUGCGUAGAUAUCGGGAGGAACACCUGUGGCGAAGGCGGCCCCCUGGUCGGAUACUGACGCUGAGACGCGAAAGCGUGGGGAGCAAACAGG